rnacentral:rRNA from 1 species
GACGAACGCUGGCGGCGUGCUUAACACAUGCAAGUCGAACGAUGAAGCCGGAGCUUGCUCUGGUGAAUUAGUGGCGAACGGGUGAGUAACACGUGAGUAACCUGCCCUUGACUCUGGGAUAACUGCGGGAAACUGUAGCUAAUACCGGAUACGACCCUCGGAGGCAUCUCCUGGGGGGUGGAAAGAAUUUCGGUCAAGGAUGGACUCGCGGCCUAUCAGCUAGUUGGUGAGGUAAAGGCUCACCAAGGCGACGACGGGUAGCCGGCCUGAGAGGGUGACCGGCCACACUGGGACUGAGACACGGCCCAGACUCCUACGGGAGGCAGCAGUGGGGAAUAUUGCACAAUGGGCGCAAGCCUGAUGCAGCAACGCCGCGUGAGGGAUGACGGCCUUCGGGUUGUAAACCUCUUUUAGCAGGGAAGAAGCGAAAGUGACGGUACCUGCAGAAGAAGGACCGGCCAACUACGUGCCAGCCGCCGCGGUAA